rnacentral:rRNA from 1 species
UACGUAGGGUCCAAGCGUUAUCCGGAAUCACUGGGCGUAAAGCGUGCGUAGGUGGAUGUUUAAGUGUAUUGCGAAAUCCUGUGGCUCAACCAUAUGGACUGUAAUGCAUACUGGAUAUUUAGAGGACGGCAGAGGCAAGUGGAAUUUGUAGUGUAGCAGUGAAAUGCGUAGAUAUUACAAGGAACACCAAUGGCGAAGGCAGCUUGCUGGGCCGACCCUGACACUGAGGUACGAAAGCGUGGGGAGCGAAACAGG